rnacentral:lncRNA from 1 species
ACUCAUUUGAAGUCAUUCUCUUUCGAUAAGCUGACUAGGGUCGUUCUUCGUGCAAAAGAAGGUUUAGCGUCAUCUUAAAGCCACAAUCAGAAGCAAUUCUUGAAGAAUCAUCCACUUGUAAUAGAAAAUAUACACCUAAGACACAAUGUUUAUUUGAAGAAUCAUCCACUGUUGAUGGGGAAGAACAUAAGCAACAGAUAUUUACUUCUACGUCUCAUCUUCGCCAGAAAAACUAGAGAUUGA